UGCUCGAGUGGCGAACGGGUGAGUAACACGUGAGUAACCUGCCCUUGACUUUGGGAUAACUUCAGGAAACUGGGGCUAAUACCGGAUAGGAGCUCCUGCUGCAUGGUGGGGGUUGGAAAGUUUCGGCGGUUGGGGAUGGGCUCGCGGCUUAUCAGCUUGUUGGUGGGGUAGUGGCUUACCAAGGCUUUGACGGGUAGCCGGCCUGAGAGGGUGACCGGCCACAUUGGGACUGAGAUACGGCCCAG
rnacentral:rRNA from 1 species